GAUGAACGCUGGCGGCGUGCUUAACACAUGCAAGUCGAACGGAAAGGCCCAAGCUUGCUUGGGUGCUCGAGUGGCGAACGGGUGAGUAACACGUGGGUGAUCUGCCCUGCACUUUAGGAUAAGCCUGGGAAACUGGGUCUAAUACCGGAUAGGACCAUCGUUUAGUGUCGGUGGUGGAAAGUUUUUCGGUGUGGGAUGAGCUCGCGGCCUAUCAGCUUGUUGGUGGGGUAAUGGCCUACCAAGGCGUCGACGGGUAGCCGGCCUGAGAGGGUGUACGGCCACAUUGGGACUGAGAUACGGCCCAGACUCCUACGGGAGGCAGCAGUGGGGAAUAUUGCACAAUGGGCGCAAGCCUGAUGCAGCGACGCCGCGUGGGGGAUGACGGCCUUCGGGUUGUAAACUCCUUUCGCCAAGGACGAAGCGUUUUGUGACGGUACUUGGAGAAGAAGCACCGGCUAACUACGUG
rnacentral:rRNA from 1 species